UACGUAGGGACCAAGCGUUGUUCGGAUUUACUGGGCGUAAAGGGCGCGUAGGCGGCGUGGUAAGUCACUUGUGAAAUCUCUGAGCUUAACUCAGAACGGCCAAGUGAUACUGCUGUGCUAGAGUGCAGAAGGGGCAAUCGGAAUUCUUGGUGUAGCGGUGAAAUGCGCAGAUAUCAGGAGGAACACCAAUUGCGAAGGCAGCUCGCUGGGACGUAACUGACGCUGAGACGCGAAAGCGUGGGGAGCAAACAGG
rnacentral:rRNA from 1 species